rnacentral:tRNA from 1 species
GAAUCAGUAGCUCAGCAGGUAGAGCACAUCCCUUUUAAGGAUGGGGUCCUGGGUUCGAGCCCCAGCUGGUUCACCA